ACAGGGGAGCAAGGCUCUUCUGACACAGAGAAAUGUUUUCUUUAUUAUAUACUUUUGCAAUUACAUAUGAAACUUGGCAAGUUAAACAGUUUUUGCUUAGAUACAGUGAAGUUGCUAUUUUGGUUACACAUUCAGACAUGGUUGACCGACCGCCCAACUACAAUCUUAGCAGGGAAUCAACCUUUCUAAAGCACAUAAACAAAGGAAGCAAACAGAUCAGUCACUAGGAGUUCUUGAUUAGGUAUAAUUUUUCAAAGAAUUGUUCUCUUGUCCACUGGACAACAGGACCCACAUUUGCAAUAUCUCCAUCUAGAGCCAGUCCAGCACACACAGGGCAUUCGCCUAAUGUUUUCCCGUGCACGAGACCCGUGCAGCGCUCUCCUCCCGUUCUUGUGCGUGAACAUUGCCACACAGGAGCCUCCUGGAACUGGCAGGAGGGAAAGAUGGGGGAGGAGAUGAACCGGAGAAAACACAGGGAGGAUGAGCGCUCCAUCCAGAACAAUGAAGCCAAGGUCACAAACCUUCAGAAAGAGGUGGGCCUGUUCAGCGGCGUCUGCAUCAUCGUGGGCACCAUCAU